UGCACUGUCGUCUCUCGUUUCAAAUUUUAAGCCCCCACUCACGAACUCUGUCAAUGUCAAGUCAAACCCUUUCUCUUUGUCAAAAUGAAGAAUAUUUUUUCAUUAAAUUCUAAAAUCUACUUAAGGCAAUGUCUGGCCUCAUAGCCACAUUUUCAAACAGACGUUCUUAAUUGGGUUUUCUGGACAAAUAAGAAUCUUCACCGGACAACCCUUCACCUCGUGGGAGGACUCCCUGAACCUGGAGCCCCCAAUAUCGCCGGCGAUGCUACAGUAAUUUAGCAUAGACACCACACCAUCAACCAACACCUGUAGGCCUGGUGGCCAGAACAUCCACGUCGCCAGAGCCCGUGGCAGAACAACAGCAAGACACCAAGAACCCGCAGACAGAUACCAAGUGCCAUCGAUAAGUAUAAUCUCUGAUCUGUAAAGUUUCGGCAAGGUCUUGUAAAUUAUUUUUUUGAUACUUUAAUUAUGUCUUUUAUGAAAAAUAAACAUGAUUAGUUAAA
rnacentral:lncRNA from 1 species